AUGUCAAGUCGAGCGAUGACGAGGAGCUUGCUCCUCUGAUUUAGCGGCGGACGGGUGAGUAACACGUGGGCAACCUGCCCUGUAGACUGGGAUAACUUCGGGAAACCGGAGCUAAUACCGGAUAAUCCAUUUCACCUCAUGGUGAAAUGUUGAAAGGCGCUUUCGGGCGUCACUACAGGAUGGGCCCGCGGUGCAUUAGCUAGUUGGUGGGGUAACGGCCUACCAAGGCGACGAUGCAUAGCCGACCUGAGAGGGUGAUCGGCCACAUUGGGACUGAGACACGGCCCAAACUCCUACGGGAGGCAGCAGUAGGGAAUCUUCCACAAUGGACGAAAGUCUGAUGGAGCAACGCCGCGUGAGUGAUGAAGGUUUUCGGAUCGUAAAACUCUGUUGUAAGGGAAGAACAAGUACGUUAGGAAAUGAACGUACCUUGACGGUACCUUAUUAGAAAGCCACGGCUAACUACGUGCCAGCAGCCGCGGUAAUACGUAGGUGGCAAGCGUUGUCCGGAUUUAUUGGGCGUAAAGCGCGCGCAGGCGGUUUCUUAAGUCUGAUGUGAAAGCCCACGGCUUAACCGUGGAGGGUCAUUGGAAACUGGGAGACUUGAGUGCAGAAGAGGAAAGUGGAAUUCCAAGUGUAGCGGUGAAAUGCGUAGAGAUUUGGAGGAACACCAGUGGCGAAGGCGACUUUCUGGUCUGCAACUGACGCUGAGGCGCGAAAGCAUGGGGAGCAAACAGGAUUAGAUACCCUGGUAGUCCAUGCCGUAAACGAUGAGUGCUAAGUGUUAGGGGGUUUCCGCCCCUUAGUGCUGCAGCUAACGCAUUAAGCACUCCGCCUGGGGAGUACGACCGCAAGGUUGAAACUCAAAGGAAUUGACGGGGGCCCGCACAAGCGGUGGAGCAUGUGUUUAUUCGAAGCAACGCGAGAACCUUACCAGGUCUUGACAUCCCAGUGACCACUCUAGAGAUAGAGUUUCCCUUCGGGACUUGGUGACAGUGGUGCAUGGUUGUCGUCAGCUCGUGUCGUGAGAUGUUGGGUAA
rnacentral:rRNA from 1 species